rnacentral:rRNA from 1 species
ACGCUGGCGGCGUGCCUAAUACAUGCAAGUCGAACGGACAAGUAAGAGCUUGCUCUUAUGAGUUAGUGGCGCACGGGUGAGUAAUGUAUAGCUAAUCUGCCCUACACUAGAGGACAACAGUUGGAAACGACUGCUAAUACUCUAUACACCUCUCUAGCAUAAGUUAGAUAGGGAAAGUUUUUCGGUGUAGGAUGAGGCUAUAUUGUAUCAGCUAGUUGGUGAGGUAAUGGCUCACCAAGGCUAUGACGCAUAACUGGUCUGAGAGGAUGAUCAGUCACACUGGAACUGAGACACGGUCCAGACUCCUACGGGAGGCAGCAGUAGGGAAUAUUGCUCAAUGGGGGAAACCCUGAAGCAGCAACGCCGCGUGGAGGAUGACACUUUUCGGAGCGUAAACUCCUUUUGUUAGGGAAGAACAAUGACGGUACCUAACGAAUAAGCACCGGCUAACUCCGUGCCAGCAGCCGCGGUAAUACGGAGGGUGCAAGCGUUACUCGGAAUCACUGGGCGUAAAGGACGCGUAGGCGGAUUAUCAAGUCUCUUGUGAAAUCCUAUGGCUUAACCAUAGAACUGCUUGGGAAACUGAUAGUCUAGAGUGAGGGAGAGGCAGAUGGAAUUGGUGGUGUAGGGGUAAAAUCCGUAGAGAUCACCAGGAAUACCCAUUGCGAAGGCGAUCUGCUGGAACUCAACUGACGCUAAUGCGUGAAAGCGUGGGGAGCAAACAGGAUUAGAUACCCUGGUAGCCCACGCCCUAAACGAUGUAUACUAGUUGUUGCUAAGCUAGUCUUGGCAGUAAUGCACCUAACGGAUUAAGUAUACCGCCUGGGGAGUACGGUCGCAAGAUUAAAACUCAAAGGAAUAGACGGGGACCCGCACAAGCGGUGGAGCAUGUGGUUUAAAUUCGAAGAU